GACGAACGCUGGCGGCGUGCUUAACACAUGCAAGUCGAACGGAAAGGCCCAGCUUGCUGGGUACUCGAGUGGCGAACGGGUGAGUAACACGUGGGUGAUCUGCCCCUGACUUUGGGAUAAGCCUGGGAAACUGGGUCUAAUACCGGAUAUGACCUUACAUCGCAUGGUGUUUGGUGGAAAGCUUUUGCGGUUGGGGAUGGGCCCGCGGCCUAUCAGCUUGUUGGUGGGGUAAUGGCCUACCAAGGCGACGACGGGUAGCCGACCUGAGAGGGUGAUCGGCCACAUUGGGACUGAGACACGGCCCAGACUCCUACGGGAGGCAGCAGUGGGGAAUAUUGCACAAUGGGCGCAAGCCUGAUGCAGCGACGCCGCGUGAGGGAUGACGGCCUUCGGGUUGUAAACCUCUUUCACCAGGGACGAAGCGUGAGUGACGGUACCUGGAGAAGAAGCACCGGCCAACUACGUG
rnacentral:rRNA from 1 species